UAGGGAAUCUUCGGCAAUGGACGAAAGUCUGACCGAGCAACGCCGCGUGAGUGAAGAAGGUUUUCGGAUCGUAAAACUCUGUUGGUAGAGAAGAACGUUGGUGAGAGUGGAAAGCUCAUCAAGUGACGGUAACUACCCAGAAAGGGACGGCUAACUACGUGCCAGCAGCCGCGGUAAAUACGUAGGUCCCGAGCGUUGUCCGGAUUUAUUGGGCGUAAAGCGAGCGCAGGUGGUUAUUAAGUCUGGUGUAAAAAGGCAGUGGCUCAACCAUUGUAUGCAUUGGAAACUGGUAGACUUGAGUGCAGGAGAGGAGAGUGGAAUUCCAUGUGUAGCGGUGAAAUGCGUAGAUAUAUGGAGGAACACCGGUGGCGAAAGCGGCUCUCUGGCCUGUAACUGACACUGAGGCUCGAAAGCGUGGGGAGCAAACA
rnacentral:rRNA from 1 species